UACGUAGGCAGCGAGCGUUGUUCGGAAUUACUGGGCGUAAAGAGUGUGUAGGCGGUGUUCCCAGUCUGUUGUGAAAUCUCCCGGCUUAACUGGGAGGGUGCAGCGGAAACUAGAAUGCUAGAGGGUGGGAGAGGUAAGCGGAAUUCCGGGUGUAGCGGUGGAAUGCGUAGAGAUCCGGAAGAACACCGGUGGCGAAGGCGGCCCGCUGGGCUGUUGCUGACGCUGAGGCGCGACAGCGUGGGGAGCAAACAGG
rnacentral:rRNA from 1 species